AUACGGAGGGUGCAAGCGUUACUCGGAAUCACUGGGCGUAAAGGACGCGUAGGCGGAUUGGAAAGUCAGAUGUGAAAUCCUACAGCUUAACUGUAGAACUGCAUUUGAAACUUCUAAUCUCGAGUAUGGGAGGGGGAGAUGGAAUUAGUGGUGUAGGGGUAAAAUCCGUAGAUAUCACUAGGAAUACCGAAAGCGAAGGCGAUCUCCUGGAACAUAACUGACGCUAAGGCGUGAAAGCGUGGGGAGCAAACGGGAUUAGAAACCCUAGUAGUCC
rnacentral:rRNA from 1 species